rfam:Veillonella sp. CAG:933 genomic scaffold, scf318
CAAAAAAGCUAGGGGAGCCUUAUGGAUGAGAAAAGUGCGUGAACACUUGACCCUUGACCUGAUUCGGAUAAUGCCGACGUAGGAAAGCUGUACAGGACUUUU